ACUACCGGUUCAGAUAUGGUCUGAGACUAUUUUCCUACUAACCGUUCAUCAGGUUAAUGAAAAGGCUGCUAUUUGAUAUGUCGCAUGCAUGGGAUUGUAGCAUUUUAAUAUUUGACCACUUCCGGCGGGACACUCGGAGCCGGUUCCGGGACACUACCGGUUCAGAUAUGGUCUGAGACUAUUUUCUUGCUUACCGUUGAUCAGAUUAUCGAAAAAGCCGCGGUUUGAUAUGUCGCAUGCAUGGGUUUGUAGCAUUUUCAUAUCUGGCCCCUUCCUGGGGUACCGGUCCGGAACACCUAAAUGGCCAUAACUCCGGAACGGCUGGACCGAUUCGAACCAUUUUCAAUAGGAAACAAUGGGACCAGAUUCCGCGUCGAAUGAACCAUCGGUCAUUAAAAUCGGUUGAGGUUUACUGCCAAAAAGUGAUGUGAGUUUUUUUGUACACACACAUACACACACACAUACAUACACACACACACACAUACAUACACACACACAGACAUCACCUCAAUUCGUCGAGCUGAGUUGAUUGGUAUAUGUGACUUGACCCUCCGGGCCUUCUAUCAAAAAGUCGUUUUUGGAGUGAACAUAUAGCCUUUCCAGUACACUUAGUGUACGAGAAAGGCAAAAAGGUUGUGGUUUGUGGCAAUAGUUACUUCUUUUCAUGGCACACAAUACAUUCCUCCAAAUUUCUUGAAAUCCAAGCAGUAGUGUAGCGGUUAGCCCUAACAACGGUCAAUGGAUAGCAAAUCCAACAUCCACCCCAACAGAAGAUGGGACGACCGUCCCGAAAACCACGAACAUCGUAAACGAAAUUUAAAUAUUCAAACAAAACAGCUGCGGGCUGUGUGCCACCACCAUUAGACUCAAUGAGUGAGACUGGCUGGAAACUACCGGGAAAUGAGAAUCCAACCCACCAGGGAGUUUCCCGAACUAAAGUGCUCGUGGGGAAGGUGCUAAAUACACUGACUGGAGGAAGCGAUUCUGAGUGCGGGGGCCCUGUCUGGCCGGCGAGAAUACCUAGUUGUGACAAGCUAUAUUCAGAAUUCUCUCGCUGCUGCUGGCUGGCUUCCCGGUGUGAAUAAAUGCAUUUAUAAUUGAAAGUUGUUUUGGUUUGUCUCCUGCGCAGAGAGAUUUAUUGGUCUGGCGCUGCGUUGUACGAGCCAUUGCAUUGUAGUUCUUCAGUGUCAUUGUCAUUUGUUGCACGGAUGAAUUAACGAAGAAGCCGUUGUGCGAUGCUGGGAAAUUGGAAGGUUAAUUUUAGCUAUGGCGUUAAUUUCGGUAGAAUUUGGUAAAUCAGUUUUGUUGAAAUCGUUGGGGUUUGAGCGGAAUUAAUGAGGUUUAUUGUUAAAAUGAACAUAGUUUAAAUUUCCACUUUUCCGUUGGUAUUUGUCUGUGGACAACGUUCAGAGUCACCAGUGCCAACAAUCUCAUCGUCUUCACAAUGCACACCACACAGUCGUUUUCUUGCAGACACUCGAUAAGCAAACGAAUCUGGCCCAAGAAGGGCCAAAAAGAAAACAGAGCCAAGAAAUGGCGUUAAGUGAUUUUUGUUUCCAUUUCGUCGAGGUUGUUUGUUCGGGUGUUCAGCUGGGAAAACAAUGGCAUUCCUGGAAGCAACAGUCGGCCCACGAUGGGAAAACAGAUUUCCUCCCCCUUCGCGCCCAGCCAGCAUGCCACUGUUCACGCCACAUCAUCGACAAUGAGGACGCAAAAGAAGGCGAACAAAAGCGUGCUCUCGUUUCGUAGCAUCGAAGGAAAACGUUGUCACUCGGUGAUGGAUUUUCUCUUCGUCUAUUGACGAUUGCCCGGGAGCAUCGCCAGAGGAGGAAGUGUGAAAUUGAAUUUCCUAGAAUGAAACUUUGAAUUUUGUUCUACAUUUGCCAGUAGAUUACUGGGAAAAUUUGUAUCUUCGCCGGAAGUUAGGAAAAAAAUCACUGUUACAGUUGUAGCCUUUGCUCCAUUUCCAUUAAUAUGCCAGAUAUAAUUUCAUCAACAGAUUCAAAUAUCAAUAUGAAACUGACCUUCAAUCAGUACAUCAAUGCCCACUAUAGAUCAAUUAAUUACAUUGCGCCGAACAGUUAGGCAAUUUUCUCGCUAUGAAAAGCUUUAAUCGGCCUUCAAUCGGCCGCGAAUGGGAUAUCCGAAGGUCAAGUACGUUUGGAAUUUCCGGAGAAAGUCGGGGAAGAAAAAGUUGCGACCGAGCCCAAACUGAGCGAGCCUUCAACGUAAGCCGUUACACUGCCGAAUCAUUUCGAAGAAGCUCGGGGGAAAUAUCGAACUUCCGUUAAGUUCGGUCGAUGGCACCUUUCCUAAUCUGAGGAUCACGGUUUCAUUUUACUUUCGUUCGAUCCGCAGAUUAGUGUAGAAGUGUCGUUGUUAACCUUGUAGAAAUAGCCGUUGAAUGUGAGUGAAAGUAACGUGGUGAUAUUUCUUUAGUUUAAUUGUUCUUUUUGUUAGUUCCUAGUUUUCAGUCCAAGUUAGGAAAGAAGUGCGUAGGGUUUGUGCGUUUACCUCGACAGAUUACCAGGUAAUGUGCUCUUUGUGCUCGUCUUAAGAACCCGUGCAUGUGCUAAUUGUACGUGAAUAGCCCACUGGCUAGAUUCUUCCACAGCGACGCUUCUCUGCCGAUCGACUCGGAACUUCCGGCGAACGAAUACUGCCGAAGAAGAGGCACGUCAACACGCCGCUUAGCGAACUUCUGUGGUCGUCUACUGCCACUUGUCAGGCCCGUCUUGAAGGUCGUUCAAGGUUUCGCAAGAACACCCCCCCCCACGUGACAGACAACCCCGUACACGUGGUCCAAGCGGUCGAUCCACCGGCGCGACACACCAGGAGCGCAGAAACAAUCAGCAGGUCAGCGAAAACCACGUAGCUGCUCGGUGAGUCGUUUCCUUUUUGCACCGUCUUUUUUGUGGAGUGGGGCGUCCGGUGAGGACGCCUCGGAGAAGUUUUUUGCCGACCAUAAGGUCGAGAAUAAUUUGGACGUCUAGUCGGAAACAGCGUUCGCAAAUGUAAGGUUGGGUGGUUGCUUGGAUCCAAAAGCGUGCGCACGUAGUUUAUGGAAGCUCCACCCAACCCUAUUGUUUAAGUCACCCGGGUGCAUCAAGCCUCCAUAGCUAGCUUGCCGCAUCGUCAAGGGAGAAAAUAUCAAUGGAUCGUGUACACGAAUAGAGCACAAGAACAAGAUAGAAGGAUAGAUAGAAAAGAAACGCACAAGAGAGCAGGACUGAAACAGGUACACAUUGUAAAUGUAUAUUAUGGAACAAAUAGCAUGUGAGUAGAAUAAACUUUCGUUUCUGUUAUUUAUUGAAUAAACGUGUUUAGUCUCUUAAGUAUCAUUGUGUUAGUAAGUUAUACUACAGUCCUGCGAAAGAUUUUUAAAUUAUUGAAAUGUUGUCCCGUUACUUCGCGUAUUUGUAGUAGAUGUUGUUUGCGUGGCGCAAUUUGACUGUAGUCUUGCGUAUGCCCUUCUACGCUGGUAGCGCCUCUAGCGAGAAGUAGUGGAACCGCCAGUGAUGAUAAAGAGCUUGCGAUAACUGAUGUCGCGUGACAUUUAGGUAUGGGUGUUGUCUUACCGCGUUCUUUGGAGGAAUGGUUUUGUAGUGUAUCGGGUUAUGUUGUUGGUAGGGUAAUUACCCCAGUUAAGGUGUAGGAAGUAGACGCGCUGGCUCGAUCCUACUUUCUUCGGGAAUUUUAAAUGGACUCGCCCUGAAGAGUCUCAACCGGGCAAAUUUAGAACUUGUCGUGCGGUCUCCUAACGGAGUGGCGCUUAAGCCGCAUGAUUUAUUCCCGGAUCGGCCAGUGCCGGCUACAAAAUGGCGCCCAACUGAAAGGUCUUAUGUGGUUUAUUGAGUUUUGAAAAUGUUUGGAGAAAAAUUGAGAAAAAGUUCAUAGAGUUUAAACGUUUGUACAGUUAAUUUACGUGUAUUUUCUGAAUUUAUGUAGAAUGUCAUGUUUUAAUUGUAGUUUUCAAGAAUUUAAGUGUAUUGUGGAGAAAAUUGAUGAUUAUAUGUGGAUUUACGUGCAGUUUUGGUGGUAUUUGCUUAGAGUUAUCAAGCAAUGCUGGUGAUGUAUUGUUUAUUUAGGAAGAUCUAGAAUUUUCUUAAAUUGUAUGGCUAAAUAUCAUUAAAGUGGCUCAACAUUCUACGAGUUACUGGUUUGACGACUGAGGAGGUGGAAAAAGAACUGUUUGUGGGAGGAAGUUAUGUGGAAUGAAGGUAAUUCGUAAUAUGGAUGGGUUAGAGUAAUUCUGAGGAUGAUUUAGGAUUUUUUGGAGACACUUAUGAGGAAAUUUCUAGAGAUGAUGGAUGUAUGGAGAAAUUACGGAUUACGAUAGAUGUUUUGUGAAGUUUUCGUGGGUACAAACAGUUUAUAGACUUCAUUGGAAUAGUAUUCACGGGAUAGAGUAAAUACCAAUCGAAACAGUUACUAUUGAUGCAAAUUGAAGAUAAAGAUAGCAGUAAAUAUUCGCUUAAACAAAAUGGAAGAGAAAUUAUCGAAAACUGCUCUUCUAACGAGGAUUAAAGAGUUAGGAAUCCGUCUAGAAGAAGUGAAGGCUGAAAUAGUAGAAGAGGAAGAUGAGCAACAUAGGGAGCACCUCCUAACGGAGGAAUGGGAUCUAGAAAUAACGAUAGAAGUGUUAAAGGCUGAAUUUAGAGGAGUAAAAAAGAAGUUUAUAAUGGUAGAUUAUGACUUUUCUCAGAAUCUACAUUACGAGGUUUACGAGAGUACGUUCUCGUGCGGGUAUUGCAAAAGCAAUGAGCAUGGUAGGAAAUGCUGUCCAGUAUUGGAGAGCAACGUUAGACUGAAGAUUGAAAAAUCAGGAACGCAGAAGAGCAUAGGAUAUUGUGAAACGUUUCCGGAAAACUAGAUCAGAGGUGCUCUGUAGGGAACGAAAGCACCUCAUACAUUAGACAUGUUCCCAGAGAUGAGAAAAUCUCACGAAAACUAGAUCAGGAGUUUUCCAAAUUACCACUACGCAAAAUGGCAGUGAGACAAAACAAGAGCAAGUUCAGUUUGCCUAGGGUGCGUAGGGAAAGCAGAAGAAAAAAUAGGAAAAUUCUAAAACAAAAAAGGAUUCUUGGUUCUAUAAGUCAGCAUAAAAGAAGAGGGAAAGAAGAAGUAGCAAUGGCAGAGAAAGGAAUGAGAAAGUUUCAAAUAACAGCUGAGAGAUGGAGGCUGUGGUUUUUAAAGAUUCUUCUGAGUAGAAAUCUUUAUGUGUUUCCAACUUUUUUAUGUUCUGUUCGAGCUAUCUAAUUGACUUUUGAGUAGAUCAGUGAUCGAACACGAACUGCAUAUUGGGACCGACUGCUACAACUUGGAAGAUGUGUAUGGGAAGAGACAUGAUAUCUUCAACUGCGAAUUUCCUGUAAGAAGGGCUUCGAGGAGUUCUUCUAGGGGAAUGCAGUUGAGCAUAACGGUUAUUAAGCUAUGUAGCUCUCAGUUGAGUAGCAACGACGCGCCAUGAUGAUUUAGCUCUGGUUGCAUGAAAAUACUUGCCGCCGUUUGUGAGAUUUGGCUCUGGCCUUUCAGCCAGAGCAGCCCCACAACAACUUUAUUUACUGGGUGCUUCCUAGAGGAGAGGCUCUCGCUGAUCCUCUAGAAGAAAUCUCACAGACGUGCUGGACUAGGCAUUUAAGGAUUGCUCUAGCAGGGGGAUCUUUGUUGAAGAUUUUUGAUUUGCUCAGGCCUACCCUCUCGACCGGAAGACAGAGCGAGUCCAUGGAGUUUACUCCAGGACGAUGACCUUGAAUUGAAACUCGGAGCUAAUGAAGCGUUGAUGAGGAGUACCAACAACGGGAAGUAUUGAAGCGAGAGUCUGUAGAUUGAGGGUGCUCAGACGAUGACCGCCUAAGACUCUGAGGUCUAGCUCAUAGAAGCAGACGAUGAAGAGCACACCCGAGUAAAUCGAGCAAGCAAAUCAACAAAUCUCUAAGAAAGAGACUGCUGACUAGAAAAAUCAGUUUGAAAAUGUAAAUAGCUCUCUCCCAUUGUAAAUAAGGACGAAAUCGAUUUUUCUAAAUUAUUGCCUGUUUGGAUGUUUCUUUCAUGUUUGUCAUUGAUGUUAGUAAGGUAGUUAACAUCGAGUCUUAGUCUAUUUUAGUAAUCAUAAUUAUAGGCUUUAUUAGGGUCCUGUGUUGCAAUAGUGGUGUCUAUCGAUGACACUCGUGUACAUAUAUAUUUUUCAUGUAUUCAGUUUCGUUUACAGUGUGAAUACAUGUUUAUUAGAUGCUUUAUUUACAUUUUUUCUACGUUUUUUUUUGUCUUACAUAGCUAUUUUCAUUAUUCAUAUUGAUUUAUUUAUUUAUUUGUAUAUUUAUUUAUUUAUUUACUUAUUUAUUUAUUUAUUUAUUUAUUUAUUUAUUUAUUUAUUUAUUAGAGAGUUAUUUGUUCAGAGAUUAUUUAUUUAUUUAUUUAUAUUGGCGGAAUCAUGCAUCGCCUUGUGAAAUUGUCCGGUUCGUCCUUUUUGCACGUCCCACCAUGCGACAUUCUUGCGUGGGUCGCGCGACAUCUUUCAUGUUGGAUGGUUCCUAAAAUCAAAAAUAUGCAAUGAAAAUUGGUCCAAUUUACUCACCUUUAAUCGGAAUCCAACUAUCCUGCCCAAUGAUCACCGCCCUGAGCUCCAUCCCAUCCAUCUUCAAAACUGGGUGCGAUAGACUAGGACGUUUGUGGGUCCGUCCAAAGAACAUCUCAUGGCCAUCCAAAUGUAAACAAACACCUUCUGGAUUCAUCAUCACAAUGAUCCAUUUAUUCCAGGCAGAUUACCUUAAAUUUAACGAAAAUCAUUAGAAAUUAGUUCAUUCUACUUACCAGUAUCAGUUUCGUCAGGAUUUUAGAGGAAAAUAGCCACAAAAUUAUCUAAAUAAUAAACAAAUUACCGCUCCAUAACAUUUUUGCACUGUCUCGUAAUCCAUCUAUAAUUCAACUAACGUUUCGUUGUUUACUCGGAGGGGGUUCAAUGUGUGGGUGACAUUUAUUUUGCGUUCUAUGGUUGUGUUAGGUUUGGUCAUUUUGUUCUUGUUUCGUAUUGCCGAAUUGUAUAUUUGGUGUUAGAAACAUGAAUUAAAGUGAAAUUUUGGGGAUUUAGUAUUUGUGUUGUGUGUUUUGUAAUCGCUUAUGUGUUAAGUGGUAGAACCAUAGCCGAUACUACUGUCAAGUGUUGUGAUAUUUCCGUGGUCAGUUGUAUAUGUUCUGCGUGCCGAUGAAAUUUCGGUAUAGAACAAGCAAUUGAUAUUUUUUUAAAUUUGUGUUAGGUCUACGUUUUGUCAAUUAGAGUGUUGUGUAAGCUGAGGGAUAGCCUUGGCGACACACUUGAAAGACAAAAUAGUUGCGGUUUGGGCUGGAUAGGGAUACAUUUCCAACACUAUGUAUGGAGUAGUCCUUAAACUGUCCUUACCUGUUAUUUGGAGUUAUGUUUGGGUAUUAUGUUAUUUGGAGAUAUGUUUCGGUAUUAUGUUCUGGAGUUAUGUUGUGUUGUGUAGUUUGGUUAGGCUUUAACUAAGAUUUAAUCAUUUUAGUUCAAAUGCCGAUUUUUGGGAAUUGUGUAAUAUUUGAGUAUUUGUGUUUAUGUUGAACCAACACCGAGUAAACGCGAACGUUGAACACUUUCUUCCGUAUUGGCUAAUAUGAACAUAAGAACUUUUCUGUAGAUUUUGCUAGUAGUUGUAUUUUGUUAAUCAGAGUUUAGUCAUUAUUAAAUAUUAUAUCGUUAAAUUUGCCCUUACGAAAAUUUGGUUGUAGUCCUACAACCAAAUUUUCGUAAAACAAGCCCGGUGUUAUGUAGCCUUUGCUCCAUUUCCAUUAAUAUGCCAGAUAUAAUUUCAUCAACAGAUUCAAAUAUCAAUAUGAAACUGACCUUCAAUCAGUACAUCAAUGCCCACUAUAGAUCAAUUAAUUACAUUGCGCCGAACAGUUAGGCAAUUUUCUCGCUAUGAAAAGCUUUAAUCGGCCUUCAAUCGGCCGCGAAUGGGAUAUCCGAAGGUCAAGUACGUUUGGAAUUUCCGGAGAAAGUCGGGGAAGAAAAAGUUGCGACCGAGCCCAAACUGAGCGAGCCUUCAACGUAAGCCGUUACACUGCCGAAUCAUUUCGAAGAAGCUCGGGGGAAAUAUCGAACUUCCGUUAAGUUCGGUCGAUGGCACCUUUCCUAAUCUGAGGAUCACGGUUUCAUUUUACUUUCGUUCGAUCCGCAGAUUAGUGUAGAAGUGUCGUUGUUAACCUUGUAGAAAUAGCCGUUGAAUUUCCUAGUUUUCAGUCCAAGUUAGGAAAGAAGUGCGUAGGGUUUGUGCGUUUACCUCGACAGAUUACCAGCCCACUGGCUAGAUUCUUCCACAGCGACGCUUCUCUGCCGAUCGACUCGGAACUUCCGGCGAACGAAUACUGCCGAAGAAGAGGCACGUCAACACGCCGCUUAGCGAACUUCUGUGGUCGUCUACUGCCACUUGUCAGGCCCGUCUUGAAGGUCGUUCAAGGUUUCGCAAGAACACCCCCCCCCCACGUGACAGACAACCCCGUACACGUGGUCCAAGCGGUCGAUCCACCGGCGCGACACACCAGGAGCGCAGAAACAAUCAGCAGGUCAGCGAAAACCACGUAGCUGCUCGGUGAGUCGUUUCCUUUUUGCACCGUCUUUUUUGUGGAGUGGGGCGUCCGGUGAGGACGCCUCGGAGAAGUUUUUUGCCGACCAUAAGGUCGAGAAUAAUUUGGACGUCUAGUCGGAAACAGCGUUCGCAAAUGUAAGGUUGGGUGGUUGCUUGGAUCCAAAAGCGUGCGCACGUAGUUUAUGGAAGCUCCACCCAACCCUAUUGUUUAAGUCACCCGGGUGCAUCAAGCCUCCAUAGCUAGCUUGCCGCAUCGUCAAGGGAGAAAAUAUCAAUGGAUCGUGUACACGAAUAGAGCACAAGAACAAGAUAGAAGGAUAGAUAGAAAAGAAACGCACAAGAGAGCAGGACUGAAACAGGUACACAUUGUAAAUGUAUAUUAUGGAACAAAUAGCAUGUGAGUAGAAUAAACUUUCGUUUCUGUUAUUUAUUGAAUAAACGUGUUUAGUCUCUUAAGUAUCAUUGUGUUAGUAAGUUAUACUACAGUCCUGCGAAAGAUUUUUAAAUUAUUGAAAUGUUGUCCCGUUACUUCGCGUAUUUGUAGUAGAUGUUGUUUGCGUGGCGCAAUUUGACUGUAGUCUUGCGUAUGCCCUUCUACGCUGGUAGCGCCUCUAGCGAGAAGUAGUGGAACCGCCAGUGAUGAUAAAGAGCUUGCGAUAACUGAUGUCGCGUGACAUUUAGGUAUGGGUGUUGUCUUACCGCGUUCUUUGGAGGAAUGGUUUUGUAGUGUAUCGGGUUAUGUUGUUGGUAGGGUAAUUACCCCAGUUAAGGUGUAGGAAGUAGACGCGCUGGCUCGAUCCUACUUUCUUCGGGAAUUUUAAAUGGACUCGCCCUGAAGAGUCUCAACCGGGCAAAUUUAGAACUUGUCGUGCGGUCUCCUAACGGAGUGGCGCUUAAGCCGCAUGAUUUAUUCCCGGAUCGGCCAGUGCCGG